rnacentral:rRNA from 1 species
AUUGAACGCUGGCGGCAUGGCUAAAACAUGCAAGUCGAACGCCUGUAGCAAUACAGGAGUGGCGAAAGGGCGAGGAAUAGAUUCCUAUGUACCUCAAGGUCGGGGAUACCCCGGAGAAAUCCGGAUCAAUACCCGAUGUGGUCGAGAGAUCAAAGGUUUACCGCCUUGAGAGCAGGGAAUCUCCUAUCAGGUAGUUGGUGAGGUAAUGGCUCACCAAGCCGAAGACGGGUAGCGGGUGUGAGAGCACGGCCCGCCGCAUCGAGACUGAGACACUGCUCGGACUCCUACGGGAGGCUGCAGUAACGAAUCUUCCGCAAUGCGCGAAAGCGUGACGGGGCAAUGCCGCGUGCAGGAUGAAGCCCUUCGGGGUGUAAACUGCUGUCAGGGUGCAGGAAUGAAAUGACCAUACCCAAAGGAAGCACCGGCUAACUCUGUGCCAGCAGCCGCGGUAAGGUAGAUGAGU